UCCGAGGAUUGCCUGUUCCUGUCUUUGGAGCCCCACCCGACACUGUGUCUCUCCCGCCUGGCGUAGCUUAGAUGGCUGGUCGUGGUCCUGCAUCAGCGAGGGAUAUCUUGCCUGCCCGCCCAGUACUGCAAACAUAGUUAGGGUUCAGCCAGGAACUUCAAGAAUUUAGCUGGGUGAAGAUGCUGAGACGGCUCUGUCAAAGAGGCCCUUCCUUUCCCACAGAGGAGCUACAGUGCCAAGUGCCACUCGAGAAGAGGCCAUCGUUCUUCAAGCAGCCAAGCCUGUAGCGUCGCUGCGCCCUCAGGUGCCCCCCAAAGGCUGCAAAGGGCAGAGCCAGCCAAGUUUUGCAGGGCUGUAAUUCCCCAAGAAGAGGACAGAAGCCGGGGCUACAGCAGCUCCGAAUUAAUGAAAAAG